rnacentral:lncRNA from 1 species
AACUUGAAAAAAAUAGGCAGGACAGGAGUUUUGAGUUAAAAAAAAAGGCAGGAUGAGACACUUGCAAAAAAAAAAAUUCAGGACUACAAUUUAGGUAAUAAAAAGUCAGGAUAAACUAAAAAAAAAAAAAAAAAAAGCAGGACCGAACAGAGUGAAAAAUAAAAAGGCAGGACAGAGAUUACAGCUAAAAAAAAAUGCAGGACAAAAUUUUUCAUCCUAGCCCCCCAUAAAAAUCAAAUGGUAGCUCCCUUAUAUGUCAGUUGUAUUUUAAAAGACAAAUGUAUCAACUAGUUAAUGAGCAUCAGUUAAUGAUCUUGUCUGCAUUGAUUUAACUUAAAACUAUUGUCUGAUCGGUUGUCAGGUGGAAUUUUUGAAAACUCAUAAACAUUUAAAAAAAAAUCUAAUUAAAAAUUUCGUGGAAGGGC